AUGCAGUCGAACGAUGAACCUCACUUGUGGGGGGAUUAGUGGCGAACGGGUGAGUAACACGUGAGUAACCUGCCCUUGACUCUGGGAUAAGCCUGGGAAACCGGGUCUAAUACUGGAUACGACCUUCUGGCGCAUGCCAUGUUGGUGGAAAGCUUUUGUGGUUUUGGAUGGACUCGCGGCCUAUCAGCUUGUUGGUGGGGUAAUGGCCUACCAAGGCGACGACGGGUAGCCGGCCUGAGAGGGUGACCGGCCACACUGGGACUGAGACACGGCCCAGACUCCUACGGGAGGCAGCAGUGGGGAAUAUUGCACAAUGGGCGCAAGCCUGAUGCAGCGACGCCGCGUGAGGGAUGAAGGCCUUCGGGUUGUAAACCUCUUUCAGUAGGGAAGAAGCCGGCCUUUGGGUUGGUGACGGUACCUGCAGAAGAAGCGCCGGCUAACUACGUGCCAGCAGCCGCGGUAAUACGUAGGGCGCAAGCGUUAUCCGGAAUUAUUGGGCGUAAAGAGCUCGUAGGCGGUUUGUCGCGUCUGCCGUGAAAGUCCGGGGCUUAACCCCGGAUCUGCGGUGGGUACGGGCAGACUAGAGUGCAGUAGGGGAGACUGGAAUUCCUGGUGUAGCGGUGAAAUGCGCAGAUAUCAGGAGGAACACCGAUGGCGAAGGCAGGUCUCUGGGCUGUAACUGACGCUGAGGAGCGAAAGCAUGGGGAGCGAACAGGAUUAGAUACCCUGGUAGUCCAUGCCGUAAACGUUGGGCACUAGGUGUGGGGGACAUUCCACGUUUUCCGCGCCGUAGCUAACGCAUUAAGUGCCCCGCCUGGGGAGUACGGCCGCAAGGCUAAAACUCAGAGGAAUUGACGGGGGCCCGCACAAGCGGCGGAGCAUGCGGAUUAAUUCGAUGCAACGCGAAGAACCUUACCAAGGCUUGACAUGAACCGGAAUGAUGCAGAGAUGUGUCAGCCACUUGUGGCCGGUUUACAGGUGGUGCAUGGUUGUCGUCAGCUCGUGUCGUGAGAUGUUGGGUUAAGUCCCGCAACGAGCGCAACCCUCGUUCCAUGUUGCCAGCGGGUUAUGCCGGGGA
rnacentral:rRNA from 1 species